UAUUCGGAAGAGAGAUAAUUUAUAAUUCUGUUGUUCUUUCUCAAUAUUAUUUAUCUGAUAACAACUGAAUUGUGCGCCGACGAAAGAUAUCCUUUUUUCUGCGAGUGUGCCUUUGAUUCUUUUCUUUUUCGGUUGUGCUUUCAAGAAGCUUUGCGUGUUUGUAAAAACUGGAAAGAUUAAAGGCAGACUUAAACUGUAGUCGAGACAGGAAACCAACAAAAUAACCUUUUCAAAGAGAUUACUUCAAUAAUUCAUGCACACAACACACGCACACAUUCAUUAACACACAAUGCUGGAAUGCUGAUGGGUAUUGCGACUUAUA